GACGAACGCUGGCGGCGUGCUUAACACAUGCAAGUCGAACGAAGUGGCGAACGGGUGAGUAACGCGUAAUCAACCUGCCCUUCAGACGGGGACAACAGUUGGAAACGACUGCUAAUACCGCAUACUGAAGGAGGGGAUUGCGUCUGAUUAGCUCGUUGGAGGGGUAACGGCCCACCAAGGCGAUGAUCGGUAGCCGGUCUGGGGGGGUGAACGGGCACAUUGGGACUUGGACACGGCACAGACUCCUACGGGAGGCAGCAGGGGGGAAUCUUUCGCAAUGGACGGAAGUCUGACGGAGCAACGCCGCGUGGGUGAUGACGGCCUUCGGGUUGUAAAGCUCUGUUAAUCGGGACGCGGUACCGGAAUAGAAAGCCACGGCUAACUACGUGCCAGCAGCCGCGGUAAUUC
rnacentral:rRNA from 1 species